rnacentral:lncRNA from 1 species
UACAGUAUUGAGGCAGAAUAUAGAGUAAUGACCUUCAUGGAUCUUAUGAAUAAGGUGUUCGGACAUGCACUGGAUCAGUACGUCAUCGUAUUCAUUGAUGACAUCGUAGUGUACUUUAAGAGUCCGGAAGAACAUGUAGUCCAUCUAUCUCAGGUACUAAGGACACUUUGUUUGAAUCACUAUUUGCUAAGCUCAGCUGAUGCUCAUUUUGGUAGGAUCGAAUCUCCUUCAUUGGCCAUGUAAUUUCGAGUGAAGG